rnacentral:misc_RNA from 1 species
UGGCAAAGUCUGGUACUUUUGUCGG